rnacentral:rRNA from 1 species
GACGAACGCUGGCGGCGUGCUUAACACAUGCAAGUCGAACGGAAAGGCCCUGCUUGCAGGGUACUCGAGUGGCGAACGGGUGAGUAACACGUGGGUGAUCUGCCCUGCACUUCGGGAUAAGCCUGGGAAACUGGGUCUAAUACCGGAUAGGAGCCAUUUUUAGUGUGAUGGUUGGAAAGUUUUUUCGGUGUAGGAUGAGCUCGCGGCCUAUCAGCUUGUUGGUGGGGUAAUGGCCUACCAAGGCGGCGACGGGUAGCCGGCCUGAGAGGGUGGACGGCCACAUUGGGACUGAGAUACGGCCCAGACUCCUACGGGAGGCAGCAGUGGGGAAUAUUGCACAAUGGGCGCAAGCCUGAUGCAGCGACGCCGCGUGGGGGAUGAAGGCCUUCGGGUUGUAAACUCCUUUCGCUAGGGACGAAGCUUUUUGUGACGGUACCUAGAUAAGAAGCACCGGCUAACUACGUG